rnacentral:rRNA from 1 species
AGCAGCAGCCGCGGGAAUACGAAGGGUGCAAGCGUUACUCGGAAUUACUGGGCGUAAAGCGUGCGCAGGCGGUUAUAUAAGACAGAUGUGAAAUCCCCGGGCUCAACCUGGGAACUGCAUUUGUGACUGUAUAGCUAGAGUACGGCAGAGGGGGAUGGAAUUCCGCGUGUAGCAGUGAAAUGCGUAGAUAUGCGGAGGAACACCGAUGGCGAAGGCAAUCCCCUGGGCCUGUACUGACGCUCAUGCACGAAAGCGUGGGGAGCAAACAGGAUUAGAUACCCCGGUAGUCCCUGUCUCUUAUAA